rnacentral:rRNA from 1 species
AUGCACGCUGGCGGCGUGCCUAAUACAUGCAAGUCGCGCGAACAGACGAGGAGCUUGCUCCUCUGACGUUAGCGGCGGACGGGUGAGUAACACGUGGAUAACCUACCUAUAAGACUGGGAUAACUUCGGGAAACCGGAGCUAAUACCGGAUAAUAUAUUGAACCGCAUGGUUCAAUAGUGAAAGACGGUUUUGCUGUCACUUAUAGAUGGAUCCGCGCCGCAUUAGCUAGUUGGUUAGGUAACGGCUUACCAAGGCAACGAUGCGUAGCCGACCUGAGAGGGUGAUCGGCCACACUGGAACUGAGACACGGUCCAGACUCCUACGGGAGGCAGCAGUAGGGAAUCUUCCGCAAUGGGCGAAAGCCUGACGGAGCAACGCCGCGUGAGUGAUGAAGGUCUUCGGAUCGUAAAACUCUGUUAUUAGGGAAGAACAAAUGUGUAAGUAACUAUGCACGUCUUGACGGUACCUAAUCAGAAAGCCACGGCUAACUACGUG